AGGACGAACGCUGGCGGCGUGCUUAACACAUGCAAGUCGAACGGUGAAGGGGAGCUUGCUCCCCGGAUCAGUGGCGAACGGGUGAGUAACACGUGGGCAACCUGCCCCUAGCUCUGGGAUAACUCCGGGAAACCGGGGCUAAUACCGGAUACGACAUCUAGUGACAUCACUUGAUGUGGAAAGUUUUUCGGCUAGGGAUGGGCCCGCGGCCUAUCAGCUUGUUGGUGGGGUAACGGCCCACCAAGGCGACGACGGGUAGCCGGCCUGAGAGGGCGACCGGCCACACUGGGACUGAGACACGGCCCAGACUCCUACGGGAGGCAGCAGUGGGGAAUAUUGCGCAAUGGGCGAAAGCCUGACGCAGCGACGCCGCGUGAGGGACGAAGGCCUUCGGGUUGUAAACCUCUUUCAGCAGGGACGAAGCCGCAAGGUGACUGUACCUGCAGAAGAAGCACCGGCUAACUACGCGCCAGCAGCCGCGGUAA
rnacentral:rRNA from 1 species